UCAGAUAUUCAAUCUUAUGUUCUCUCUUUUUGUGCGUGUGUGUGCGUGCGUGCGUGUGUGUGUGUGUGGCAUUUUCAAAUGCAAAUAUGCAUUUUACCAUGAGAGUGAUCCAAGUUGUUGAAGGUAAUUUCUAUAAAACUCAACCUUGGUUCUGAAAUCGGUCUCAUGAAAUCUGAAUUUGACUUAGCCAAGUCAAUAAACUACUCAUCAAUUUCGUAAAUGAAUGUUGUUGACUGCCGAGAUUUUUUUGAAUGUUGUUUUUAGGAUGUUUGGCCCGAAGGUUUGCCCCUUGGAAGUAGGGGGGGCAAUGGGUUGUGUUCAGGUCGGAUUAGUUUCCAGUUACGAGAAUGGAUCCAACACAAACGCAACCCAUUUAUUGACUGGGUUGAAAAUCUCAACCCCAAACUGACCUAUCUAUAAAUAGUUCAACCCAAACUCAACCCAACCCAACCCAACCCAACCCACCCAACUCAUUUAAUUAAAAAAUAAAAUAAUUGGAAAUAAAGAAUGUAGUCAUUUUCUAGAAAAAUAUAAAAAUAUAAACUCCAUAUUUAGAGCUCUUAAUUAAUAUAAAAUAAAAAACUUUUAUAUAAUCAAAUUACAACUAUCAUAACCAAGUUUAGAGUUUUUUAAACUUAUUAAAAUUAUAAUAUAUAAUGUGUACAUACAUACAUAGGGAUGGAGGGAGGGACCCAAACCCUGACUUUUCACAUUGGGUCCAGGUCAGGCCAACCCUAACCCAAACGCUGACUUUUCACAUUGGGUCUAGGUCGGGCCAAAAUUUUCUACCUCCACUUAGAGGCUGGGCACAUAGGGCUCAUCCCUUUGCUCAUCAUGUGGGGAUGCAGACCAUCCAUCUAGUAGGUCCUCCUUGGAAUUUGGAUGCCCUACAUAAUGAGAAUAGAGAACCUCAUAAUCCAUCCAUGUGUUGAAUCUGUUUUUGUUUCUAACCCACCUUUGCAAGGACAGCGAAGAUCUGUUAUUGAUGAGAUGUUUAUGUCAGUGGGAGCUUCUAGUGGAAUAUCCCAGUUCACCACAUGGUGGGCAAUUACCCCUUCAAAGGGACGACUCUCCCUACGUAUUUCUUGUUUUAUUUUAAGGAUUGAAUAAGCAGUGGAAUUGAAAUGACCCACCUGUUUAGUCUGCAUUCCUUUAGAUUGAUUAUUCAGCUGUCAUAUAACAUUUAAUAACUAAAUACUUGUUUUAGUGGAUGAGCAUUAAAUUCUCAUGUAAACCUUUGGUUGUUUGAACUUUUGGGCAUAAUUUUGGCCGACAUUCUAGAUCGUGUUGAGAUACAUGUUUUUCCUAUCCAACACCGUUCUUGACAUUCGGUAUUUGAUGUUUAUAGUUGCACUAGUCUCCUACUUAGGCUGUCACUUCCAUUAUUCACGAUGCAUAGAUAUUUCAGGAUGAGAGGUCUGCAUCUCAGGUUGUCUUUUCCCUUAAAUGAGACGCAAACGGGGAAUCUACCUGAAAGUCCUAAUUGUUUUUCUCUU